CCUACGGGUGGCAGCAGUGGGGAAUAUUGCUCAAUGGGGGAAACCCUGAAGCAGCAACGCCGCGUGAAGGAUGAAGGUUUUCGGGUUGUAAACUCCUUUUGUUCGCGAGGAUAAUUACGUUAUCUACAGACUACUCCCCUGCUCACUCCGGUCCAGCAGCCACUGUAAUCCGGCGGGUGCAAGCGUUCCUCGGAAUCACUGGGCGUAAAGAGCACGUAGGCGGGAUAGCAAGUCAGCUGUGAAAUCCUUUGGCUUAACCAUAGAACUGAAGUUGAAACUGUGAUUCUAGAGUAUGGGAGAGGGAGGCAGAAUUCGUGGUGUAGGGGUAAAAUGCGUAGAGAUCAAGAGGAAUACUCAUUGCGAAGGCGACCUGCUAGAACAUAACUGACGCUGAUGCGCGAAAGCGUGGGGAGCAAACAGGAUUAGAUACCCUAGUAGUC
rnacentral:rRNA from 1 species